UACGUAGGUGGCAAGCGUUGUCCGGAUUUACUGGGCGUAAAGAGCGCGCAGGCGGUCGUUCAAGUCGCGUGUGAAAGCCCCCGGCUCAACUGGGGAGGGUCACGCGAUACUGAUCGACUCGAAGGCAGGAGAGGGUAGUGGAAUUCCCGAUGUAGUGGUGAAAUGCGUAGAUAUCGGGAGGAACACCAGUGGCGAAGGCGACUACCUGGCCUGUUUCUUGACGCUGAGGCGCGAAAGCUAGGGGAGCAAACGGG
rnacentral:rRNA from 1 species